rnacentral:rRNA from 1 species
GACGAACGCUGGCGGCGUGCUUAACACAUGCAAGUCGAACGGAAAGGCCCUGCUUUUGUGGGGUGCUCGGGUGGCGAACGGGUGAGUAACACGUGAGUAACCUGCACUUGACUUUGGGAUAACUUCAGGAAACUGGGGCUAAUACCGGAUAGGAGCUCCUGCUGCAUGGUGGGGGUUGGAAAGUUUCGGCGGGUGGGGGUGGACGCGCGGCUUACCAGCUUGUUGGUGGGGUAGUGGCUUACCAAGGCAUUGACGGGUAGCCGGCCUGAGAGGGUGACCGGCCAGAUUGGGACUGAGAUACAGCCCAGACUCCUACGUGCGGCAGCAGUGGGGAAUAUUGCACAAUGAGCGGAAGCCUGAUGCAGCAACGCCGCGUGCGGGAUGACGGCCUUCGGGUUGUAAGCCGCUUUCGCCUGUGACGAAGCGUGAGGGACGGUAAUGGGUAAAGAAGCACCGGCUAACUACGUG